rnacentral:piRNA from 1 species
UACAAGGCCACACCUUUAAUCCUUCC